AAUAAUUUUAUUUUAUUAUUAUUUUUUUUCUUCAGUUUGUUUCUUAUUUUUAUUUUGGUUGUUGGUUUUAAGUUUCUUGUCACCUCUUUUUGAUUCAUUUCUUGUACUUGGUUUGAUCUUAGAAGAAGGGUUGCAGC